AGGCGGUCAUUCAGUGCAAUGAAGACAUCAAAGACCAUAAAAUAACCUCUGAUCAGACUUCUCGGUACGAUCGGUUGGCUAAGGCAGAAUGAACACCAAAUUUUCGUGGAUUCUUGUGGCUCUUCUUUUAAGUUCGUUUGUAUGUUGGAGUAGCACAUUUGCGCCGGGCCAGCAUAACCCAAAGAUGCGUUAUGGAAAACGACAUUUUGUCCCACAAUCCAACCGUGCAAAUGAAUACCUCCCUCGAGCAUGGCUGAAAAAGUCCGUUGAAGAUACUGCAAAAAAGCAGUUCAAGGCACGGCUUGAAUGAGGCACGUCAUCGGGCGGAGUUCAGCAAUCAGUUAUCGAGUUUAAAAAAUUGGGUGAACGAUUUAGGUCUUACAUAUUUCUUUUAGAGUUAUUUUAACGAAUUUAUUGCGUAAGGUAUGAAUUAUUUUUGUAAUCAAACAGUUAUAAUUAAAAGAUAAACCCUGUAAGGCUGACAUGGAUCUGAUGACAUAAUCAUUCACUCAUAUCUCUAUUUCAAGUGACAUCGUCAUUAGAUUUAAUUAGCUUUGAUGUAAAAGAAGCAAGAACUUAACGGAAUGUUACCUCCGUAAACUAAAAGUAUGAUUAUUGUAAUUCUGAAAAAUGACUUUCUCAAAUAUUAAAGGUCAUGUUAAAAAAAAUACUCUUUAAUAGACACAGUUAGAGCUUAACUCAACAGGGUGAUUUUGUUUUACGACUAGACUCUCACUCAACAAAACGAGUACUGUGAUUGGUCGAUUCGUCUCGGGAAACACCAGGACUCGAGGGAAAACAAGUGUGCCCUCCCUUAAGUACUUUGUUAUAUAUUUAGGGACCAUACAUUAAGUGAAUAUUGGUUCGACUGUACAAAGUACAGAAAGUUUAACACCAAGCUAUUACGCUCCCUAUACAACUUGUUGCCCAAUUGAGCGGCGGUUUUGUUUUAAGAAUGAUUCCGUUUGGACUGCACCGUGAUUGGGAGAAAAGUAUUCAUCCUUACAAUAAAAAUAACAUUAUUUACAAUAACAAAUCAUUAUGAUGAAAACAAUAAUAAUGAUAAAGUUAAAAUUUGACUGAAAAAUUAUGUUAUUAGGACUGAAUCAAGAAUAAGAUCAAAAAGUAAUUUGGCGAAUAAAUUGAAAUUACGAAGACAACCUAA